AGCGCGCGGCUGCGGCGCGGGAAGCAACCCAGAGCCCUCCUCCCGCCUGCUCUGUGUAGGAGACAGCCUGCGGAGCCCACUGCCGGCGCGCAGAGAGCCCAGCAGCUCUUGAGUCCAGGAAGCAAGGGUGGGAGGAGGGACGAGCCAGUGGCAAUGACCCAGACCCGGACGACCCCCAUUGCUGAGCCAGCGGAGCUGCUUGGAGGCAGAGGUUGCAGUGAGCUGAGAUUUUGCGACUACACUCCAACCUGGGCAACAGAGCGGGACUCCAUUCCAAAAAAAUAAGAAAAACAGAAAAAUAAUAAUUACAUCUGCAAAGACCUUAUUUCCAGGCUCAAGCAGAGUCUUCCUCCUGGUGUUCCAGAAGGAGUUCAAGGUCCUGCUCCAUAUGGGACAGCUAGAUUCUGAGGGCAAUGUUGAGAUCCUCAUCUCCAGAAGGUGCUGGUGCCAGAAAUAUGACAAAAGGCUGAUUGACGGGCCAGGCGCGAAGAAUCUGUUGGAUGAUUACAACAUUGCUGGAUUGAUAGCAGCCUCACCUGCCAGGCUCAAACUCCAGAUCCAAAGUCCACAAAUAUAUCAUAAAUCUGAAGAGGAACUGGGAGAAGCUUCUGCUGGCAGCUCAUGCCAUUGUUGCCAUUGAAAACCCUGCUGAUGUGUCAUAUCCUGCAGGAAUACUAGCUAGUGGGCUGUGCUGAAGUUUGCUGCUGCUGCUGGAGCCACAUGUAUUGCUGGUCACUUCACUUCUGGAACCUUUGCUAACCAGAUCCAAUCAUCUUCUGCCACCCACAUCUUCUGGUGGUUACUGAUUCUAGGGCUAACUAUCAGCCUCUCUCAGGGGCUUCUUAUGGUAACCUACCUACCUACCACUGCUGUAUGUAACAGAUUCUCCUCUGAGCUAUGUGGAUAUUGUCAUCCCAUGCAACAACAAGGAAGCUCAAUCACUGAGUCUAAUGUAGUGGAUGCUGGCCCAGGAAGCUCUGUGCAUGUGUUGCACCAUCUCCCAUGAUCAUGCCUGAUCUCUACUUCUAUAGAGAUCCUGAAGAGAUUGAAAAGGAAGAGUAGGCUGCAGCUGAAAAAGGAGGAAUUUCAAAGUGAAUGGACUGCUGUAGUGCAAGUUUACUGCUACUCAAUCUGAGGUUGCAGACUGGUUUAAAGACAUGCAGGUGCCCUCUGUGCCUAUUCAGCAGUUCCCUACUGAAGAUUGGAGCACUUAGCCUACCAUGAAUGACUGGUCUGCAACUUCCACUGCUCAGACCACUGAAUGGGUAAGAAUAACCACUGAGUGGCCUUAAGCUGUUCUUCCACAAGCUCUUAAACAAGAUGGAAAUAACGCUGAUGGAAAUAAACAACAGUUUCCAAGAAAACACGAACAGCUGAAGUGGCAAUGUUUAAGUAACAUCUGG
rnacentral:lncRNA from 1 species